rnacentral:sRNA from 1 species
GUCUCCCAUCCAAGUACUAACCAGGCCUGCCCCUGCUGAGCUUCGGAGAUCAGACAAGAUCGGGAGCAUUCAGGGUGGUAUGG